UCUGGUUGGAAGGCAAACACUGCUUCAGCACCAGUUACCUUUACCAACAAUUGUAUUGCUGUACAAACAACUUUGGCAUGACGAUCCCAAUGCAAGGCAUGUUUUAACGAGUCCAGUAAAAAAUCAUUUUUUAUAUCUUCUGAAGGACAAACAAGCAAAUAAAGCUGUAACGAUUUAGAAAAAACGUCCUUCACCGCAACCUGUACACCGGUAAGGCCAGGAAUAGAUAUUUUAUUUGCAGGAAGGGAGAACAAAUUAGUCCAGAAUUUCAGCUCCAUAGUAUCCCAGACAUACUUAGAAAUUUCCGGAUCUUGUUUACAUGCAUUAAAUAUGCGUCGUAACCAUACACUAAUGGUAUCUAAACAAGCAACCUGAGAGGGGCCAUCCAAUGUGGCAUUUUCUAAAGAGCUUUUCAGAAAAGAGUAAUACCUGAAAAAAAGACCGUUUUUAAGAUACCAGUCUUCCGACUUCGACUGUAUGAAAGUUUCUCUUAAUUGCUGAAACGACGAAACAGUGGGCUGUGAUGGUAAUGAUUCCAAGUCCAAAGACGCUGCCUUGAUAACACUCAAAUCCAUUUUUUACAC